GGUUAAGUUAGAAAGGGCGCACGGUGGAUGCCUUGGCACUAGGAGCCGAUGAAGGACGGGACGAACACCGAUAUGCUUCGGGGAGCUGUAAGCAAGCUUUGAUCCGGAGAUUUCCGAAUGGGGAAACCCACUGCUCGUAAUGGAGUAGUAUCCAUACUUGAAUACAUAGAGUAUGAGAAGGCAUACCCGGGGAACUGAAACAUCUAAGUACCCGGAGGAAGAGAAAGCAAAUGCGAUUCCCUGAGUAGCGGCGAGCGAAACGGGAACAGCCCAAACCAAGAGGCUUGCCUCUUGGGGUUGUAGGACACUCUAUACGGAGUUACAAAGGAAUGAUAUAAGCGAAGAGGUCUGGAAAGGCCCGCCAAAGAAGGUAACAGCCCUGUAACUGAAAUGUUGUUCUCUCCAGAGUGGAUCCUGAGUACGGCGGAACACGUGAAAUUCCGUCGGAAUCCGGGAGGACCAUCUCCCAAGG
rnacentral:rRNA from 1 species